GAGAUGAAGAGUUGGACAGUUAAUGACUGCGCCACCCAGGAACCCCUCAGAUUGGACGAGGCCCACCCACAACGGGGAAGGCCAUCGGCUUUAUUCAGUCUACCAAUUCAAAUAUGUUAAUCAACUCUGUUGAGAAUUGAUGUGCAUCGUUCCUGAUUUUUCUCAAUAUAGGCUUUCCACACAGGAGCUGCCAGAGACUCUGGCAGGCGCAGAAGGCCACCUAACUGCAGUCCAGGCCAACACUUGUUAUAGGAACAACAAUGGGACCGGUGCCUCUCUGCUCACACUGUGAUGCCUCCUUCUUGUAUCCUCUUUGGAGUGGUUCAUUAAUUCCCUUCUAACUUUAUUGUGUUGAGUAACUUGUGUGAUAAAAUUGUGCAAUCAACUGAAUGAUUCAUGAAUUUAAUGUUGGUGCUAUGCAGCUAUUUGAAACAGGUCUCAAUCCUGUGAUUCUUACCUGGCCUUGCCUUUCACCCUGCUCAGGCUAAUGUACUCUGAUCUCCGGAGGGGCUCUGCCAAGGUUUACUGCCUCUCCCCUCCAUUGUGACAAUUGCCUUGGCCUCCUUGCACAGCACCUGGAGGCUAAGGGGUGUGGCUCGUGCUUUUGGGGGAGCACAGCCUCACUGUGAGGCUUUGAAAUAGAUCUGCCCUGGGGCCCUUGAACUCUGGACCUGUGGAGCCCUACAAGCUAUUUGGCAUAUGAAGGUCCUGACCUGAGAAAACCAUCUUGGAUAACCACGCAAGGAGAGGGAAAAAUGCAACACCUAGGAGAUUUCAGUAAACAGUAGAAUCAUGCCAACCUAAUCUGUGUUAAAAUGCUUGGAAUGUGGGAGCCGCCGAGGAUGCCUGUUGUCUGUGUGUCUGACUGAAUCCUUUCUUUUCUCAGAGCAGCAAAGCCAAGCCUGGGAACCAGGCCAAAUGCCUGCCACUUACCUUAAAUUGAUCAGCCACUUUGAGAUUAAAACCCCUGAAAGCUGCCACACCGUGAAAACAAGGCCUCCUUCACAUUAAAGGCAAAUUGCGACUUUG